ensembl:lncRNA
UUUCCAGAGCCCUGUACGAUCCCAUCCCUGUUGUCCUUCCUGUCCUGCUCAUCUCUUUUCUCCCUCUGUAGUCCAAAGCCUAGUCACACAGAGCAACUUGAAUGUCCUUGAGCAGGGGUGCUCGCUCUCCUCCAGACUGUGUCCAAACUAUAACACUCUCUGGGAUACUAUUUCCUACUUUAUCCCCUGCUGACCAUUUUCCUUCCUUCAGGUCUUGUCUGUGAUACCUGAGUGGCCCCCAUCCUUCCCCUGACCACUCUAGGCCAUGAUGUCAGGGAAUGCAUCUUUGUUUCCCACUGCAUCACAGGCAUGGAAGGCUUUGGAGCACUGGUUCAUAAGGUGUUAUCCCCAGACCAUCAGUAUCAGCAUCAUCUGAUGUAAAGUUUCCAACUCAGGGCAACACAGCCCAGAACAGACGUUCUUUGAAAAUGAAGAGCUGGUGGAAGUCUCCCCAGUCCCAGCACUCCCCACCUCCCCAGACCAGGGAGGGUAACUUCAUCUGAGAGAAGAAAUCUCAGCUGUGAAUAUGAGCCCUUCUAGACCCACAGAGGCAGAGACUGGGGUCUCCUCAUGACAAACAUCCCCCAAUUCUGCAUGUAGCCCCACCAGGGGGAUGUGCCUCUAUUACUGUGAUGAUUCAUGCCACCCGCAUAUCCAUGAAUAAAACAUAGAAAUAACUUAUGGGAUGUGUCCCAGAGAAGGCACUGCAGACAUUUAAAAAAUAUAUAUAGGAGUUCCCGUCGUGACGCAGUGGUUAACGAAUCUGACUAGGAACCAUGAGGUAGAUGCUGUUAUCAUCCCAUUUCACAGAUUGGCAAACUUAGGAAGGAAGAGAGGUGAAAUCAACUUGCUCAAAAACCACAGAGCUUGAGGGUGACAGUUGAUUUAUACCCAGGGGCUUUGCCUCCAGAGUCUCUGAUUAUAACCACCUCCCCGUCCUAGGUACCACUUAUGUAGAGUGAAAGAAAAAAAUUAAUGACAUACAUACACACACAUGUAUAUUGCUGGUCCACGCCCAGAAGGAGACCUGAGAAAUCCAUCCACACAGCCUGAGUAGGGGAGAAACGCUUCCCCCUGUACAAUCUUUUGUACUUUUUCAAUUUUUUUAGCACACAUUGUUUUUUUGUUUGUUUGGGGGGAUUUUUGGUUGUGCUUACGGCAUGUGGAAGUUCCUGGGCCAGGGCUUGAACCCCU